UGCCCCUGUUCAAAGACGUCACCACCACAGAGAGCCAACUCAAGCUCGGUUUGACACACAACACAACACGAGAGGCUGCACCGGGGCGCAGGAGCCAAGCCAUGUCACGUUAACGGCGGAGGGGGCAUCGGUGGCAAACUCUUCGCCCGGGAAAUGCCCUUCAUGCUGCAGCUCCCGAGGAGAGAAUGAAGCGCAAAAGCGAGAAGAGGCGAACCGAGUCGAGGAAAAAACGCCGCGCAGCCCACAGCAGCUCAGAGGCGGAGCUAAGCUCUGAUAUUUACAUUGAGAUAACAGAUCAACUAUAUUUUGCCAUACUUCAUCAAAAGAUCAAGAGCACAGCUGACCGACACUUUUUCUGCAUAGAUGAAGAGCUGGUAUAUGAGAACUUCUAUGCGGACUUUGGUCCCCUUAACCUGGCCAUGUUUUAUCGCUUCUGUUGCAAGCUGACAAAGAAGCUCAAGUCAAUUACACUCAUGAGGAAGAAGAUCAUUUUUUUUACUUGCGGGGAUCAGAAAAAACAAGCCAACGCUGCCUAUCUAAUAGGAUCGUACGCAGUGAUGCAUCUAAACAUGACACCAGAGGAUGCCUACAACCUGCUGGUAUCCAGGAAUUCAUCUUAUCUUCCAUUCAGAGACGCCUCGUUUGGAACCUGCAUGUACAAUCUGGACAUUCUGGACUGCCUGCGUGGAGUUCACAAAGCUGUGCAGUACGGCUGGCUGGACUUCUCCAACUUUGAUGUGGAAGAGUACGAGCACUACGAGAGGGCGGAGAACGGAGACUUUAACUGGAUAAUUCCUGGGAAGUUCCUCGCGUUCAGUGGCCCUCAUCCAAAAAGCAAGAUAGAAAAUGGGUACCCUUUACAUGCUCCCGAGGCCUACAUCCCAUACUUCAGAAAACACAACAUCACCACUGUCAUCAGACUCAACAAGAAGAUGUACGAUGCAAGACGUUUCACAGAUUCAGGCUUUGAGCAUCAUGACCUGUUCUUUGUAGAUGGGAGCACACCAAACGACACCAUCGUCAGAAAGUUCCUCAACAUCUGUGAGAACGCAGAGGGAGCUAUUGCGGUCCACUGCAAGGCUGGCCUGGGAAGAACCGGUACGCUAAUCGGCUGUUAUAUGAUGAAACAUUACGGCCUGACUGCAGCGGAGGCCAUCGCAUGGAUACGGAUCUGCCGGCCAGGAUCCAUCAUUGGACCACAGCAAAACUUCGUAGAAGAGAAGCAGAACACCCUCUGGGCAGAGGGAGAUGGUUUCCGGGAGAAGAAGCUGAAUGAGCGGGAAAACGGCAAGAUGGCAGUGACCAGGAUCCUGUCUGGAGUGGAUGACAUCACAAUCAACGGUAGCAACAAAAACAAGGCAUCCAAGAAAGAAGAAAUAGAGCUGUACAAUGAUGAAGAUGAGAGAAACGGCGUCACCCAGGGCGAUAAACUACGAGCCCUGAAGAGCAAGCGGCAGGCCAGGUCGUCUUCAGGUUCUCUGUCGCAGGUGGUAGUGUUCUGCUGCAGCCUCAUGGGCACGGCGUGGCCGAUGUGUUGCCUGCCGUUCAAAAGGUAGCAGAGAGAGGCAGAGAGAGGGACAGUGGGCAGAGAAAGAGGAUGUGAGGUUUUGUAUGAAGGAGUGGAUAUGCACUUAGUGAAUGCGUUUCAUUUACACGCCUUCCAUUGUCUGGCUGGUGGACGCACUUAGCUGCUCUGCUUCGAUAUAAAGGCAUUCAGUCACUUGCAGAGGUUCUCCAAACCAUCAAAUGUUUUUCUGAAUUUUGUCACUUUAUAGCCACUAACUUCAAUGGGAUUUUAGAGACAUUAGAGAAAUACUAAAAGCCCUUUUUCAUUCUACCAAAUAUGACACUGAAAAUUUCUGUGAGAAAGAGCCAUAAAAGCCCAUGUAAGGGAAAUACAACAAAACUAAAACUGCACAUCGUCUGACAAAAACAUCCUAAUAGUGAAACAUGGUGGAGGUAACAUCAUGCUGUGGGGAUAUUUUUCAGAGUUCUUGUGAAGAUGGCUAGAGCUUAAAACAGGACAAUCCUGGGGGAAAAAGCUUGCUGGAAGCUAAUAAAAGACAUAAGACUCGGGUGGAGGGUCGUUUCCCUAAAUUUACAAAUUUACAACCAGAGCUACAACAGAAUGGUUCGCAACAUAUCAGUCAGUGUGUUAAUAAGGACCAGUCAAACUCCAAAUGUAGGUCAAGUUGUUUGUGCUUCAGUCUGACUGAUUUUACAAGGAAGAAUUGGCAGGAAGGUUUUCAAAAACUCGACAUCCUCUUAAAGAGUUGGUUCCACGUGGUUCUACAAAGUGCCUACUCAUUAUAGCUUUAAUCGUCCAUUUAACUUUUACACACUGUGAUUUUGUUUAUUGCAUAAAAUCUCAGUAAAAUACAUUGAAGUUUGUGUUUGCAACGUGACAGAGUGAAAAUGUUGUAGUUGUACAAACACCUUUGCAAGGCACUGCAUCCCAGAUAUCUUCUGUCAAUUAGGGCCUAUAAAUAAAGUCCACUGUAUUUACUAGCAGCACCAGUUGUUCAACUGAUUCCAGAUAUAAAUAAGAUCUGGAAUAGCUGAACUGAAGGUUUUGGUUCUUGGCUUGCACUGCUGACUUGGCACUACUCAUAAAAUUGUUAAGAAACACUUGAGCCUUUAUAAAAACCUGCUGUAGCUACUUCCUUUUUUGGUCAGUUAGGUCAUUUUCCUGCACCAAAUAUUUAGCUGUAGGUUUUCCCUUUUAAAGUAAGUAUACCGUAUUGUAGUUAGUUUGAUUUAUGGCUUUAUUUGUGGUUGUGUAAGGACAGUUAAUCACAAAACAUCAUGCAUAAAGUUCUGAGGGUGAAUUGGAGUUAAAAGCAGAUUCUCAUGCAUUCUCAGGGGGAAGUUGAGACAGAACAGGAGGUUUACUUGCACUUUUUAGGGUAUAUGCUGUAUCAAUGUAUAUCCUGCUGUACAGACAUAAUUCAGGGCUGAAUUUCACCGUCUGGCUCCAUUGUUUUGUUGCAUAACACUGCAGCGCAUGUUCAAUUGCAGGGACAAUUAGAAGAAUGCUUAUCCAAACUUUUGCCCAUCUCUUCUGCCGUUUUCCAUGCAUGACAUAAAGUACUGAACUCCAUUGGGAACGCAUGCAUGCCUGUGCCUCAGUUUCGAUCACUGUUUGUGUCUGACAUGUUAUAAUGUUAGGCUGGAGUCACUGUCGAUUGCCUGUUGUUUUUCCAUUGCCUUUAUGACUGGAUCGGUGUUCACAUACCACCUGAGCUUUUCACUCCUGCAGGUUUCCAACUCUGUCAGCUUCUGUUGAAGUUGGCAGUUUCAUGAAAUUAAAUUAGAUAAUCCAUGCAGUUGAAACCACAUAGUUGCAUAAACUGUUGUUAAGAAAAUAAAUAAGUCUAACCUAAGGUGAAACACUCAGUCAAUCAAGAAUUAAUCAAAAUGGAUUUUGAUUAUUAUUUUAUUAAGACAUUAAGCAGAGAAUAUGAGCAGUGACUCCUCUAGCUAAUCCAGGGAAGUGAAGAAAAGAUGAAGGCACAUCGUUUUUAAUAUUCACCAGCAGGCUUACAAAGAGGGGAGGAAAAAAAGGGAGUAUCCAAACAGUUUCAGUUUACUACCCAAAUCUGUAACCUGCAGACUGUCACCCUGAACAGUUCAAACCCAGUACAGAAAAACCCUUUAUUACGUGUUUCCAGCAUUCAACAUGACGGGUGCUUUAUAAAUAAAAUUGAUUGACUGCAUGAUUGAUUGAAAUACAAUGUGUUGUCACAACACUGUGUAAGGAGAAAAAAAUGUCUCACUGACUGUUUAAUGCUUAAUCAGACAUAACAGGUCCUGUAAUCCAAUUCAAGGGGAAAAAUUUAUAAGUUUUAAGAAAUUGUAAUAUUUUAUUAUUUAACAAACAGAAACAGUUGGUAUUCAUAAUUUACCUUACACAAGAAAAGUUCGGAUUUAACAUCCAGUGGUGACAAAAUAAAGAUGUUCUUUUUAUACAGCGUAUGUCAACAUCUGGUUUCAACUGUUCCUAAAUUCUUGUUGGGUUUCAUAUUGGUUGAGAAGUCUGACAAUUAUAAUAGUCUACUUUGUGUAAUGAAAUACAUAUACUGUCAUGUUCAAUUCGUUUCUGCACUUCGAGUCAUUUAAGGGGACGUGCGGGUGUCGACUGCUGUUAAACAAUGUCUGCAAUGUUAGAAUAUCAGAACAAACUCCAGCCGUGUGGGACGAUUGGAUGCAAGACUUUGUGAAGGAGGGUGUUUCAUCUAAUCCAGUCCCAGUGGAAAAGCACAACAUGAGAGGCUUUGUGUCCUGCCCAGACGUCUCUUGUCUCUCCUUCCUUUUUUUUCCCCCCCGUUUGCUCUUGUUGUUGGAUUUGUCCUCCUUUCAGAUGGCUGGUAGCCAUGCUGCUCUCCCUGUGUAGCCUUGCCCUGUGGUGGAUUGUGUAUGGCUUCCCUUCUUCCAUCCUGCAUUUCUGUAUAGACGGGUUAGGAUUUCUCUGAGUUCUGCCGCCCAUCAGCGCCCCCUCCCCCCCAAACCUGUCCUGCCCCUCCUUCUGGAGCUCUAACUGAGAAAUGCU